rnacentral:rRNA from 1 species
UACGAAGGGGGCUAGCGCUGCUCGGAAUCACUGGGCUUAAAGCGUGUGUAGGCGGAUCGUUAAGUACCUUGUGAAAUCCCACGGCUCAACCGUGGAACGGCUGGGUAUACUGGCGGUCUUGGGCCAUUCAGGGGCGACUGGAACAAGCGGUGGAGCGGUGAAAUGCGUAGAUAUCGCUUGGAACGCCGAAGGUGAAAACAGGUCGCUGGGGAUGUGCCGACGCUGAGACACGAAAGCCAGGGGAGCAAACGGG